rnacentral:rRNA from 1 species
AGCUCCAAUAGCGUAUUUUAAAGUUGUUGCAGUUAAAAAGCUCGUAGUUGGAUUUGUGGUGUGUCCAGUUGGCCUUCGCUUCUAGUGUUAGCGCUGUACUGGUCUGCCAUGUUUGGGUGGAAUCUGUGUGGCAUUAAGUUGUCGUGCAGGGGAUGCCCAUCGUUUACUGUGAAAAAAUUAGAGUGUUCAAAGCAGGCUUAUGCCGUUGAAUAUAUUAGCAUGGAAUAAUAAUAUAGGACCUUGGUACUAUUUUGUUGGUUUGCGCACUAAGGUAAUGAUUAAGAGGGACAGUUGGGGGUAUUUGUAUUCCAUUGUCAGAGGUGAAAUUCUUGGAUUUUUGGAAGACAAACUACUGCGAAAGCAUUUACCAAGGAUGUUUUCA